rnacentral:rRNA from 1 species
CGACGUGGGUAACCUGCCUCGUACAGGGGGAUAACAGUUAGAAAUGACUGCUAAUACCGCAUGAGCGCACAGUGCUGCAUGGCACAGUGUGAAAAACUCCGGUGGUAUGAGAUGGACCCGCGUCUGAUUAGCUAGUUGGUGGGGUAACGGCCUACCAAGGCGACGAUCAGUAGCCGGCCUGAGAGGGUGAACGGCCACAUUGGGACUGAGACACGGCCCAG